UGAGGCAGGAGAAUUGCUUGAACCCAGGAAGUGGAGGUUGCAGUGAGCCGAGAUGGCGCCACUGUACUCCAGCCUGGGCAACAGAGUGAGACUCCAUCUCA
rnacentral:miRNA from 10 species